rnacentral:rRNA from 1 species
CACGUAGGGCGCGAGCGUUGUCCGGAAUUAUUGGGCGUAAAGAGCUCGUAGGCGGCCUGUUGCGUCCGCUGUGAAAGCCCGGGGCUUAACCCCGGGUCGGCAGUGGAUACGGGCAGGCUAGAGGUAGGUAGGGGAGAAUGGAAUUCCCGGUGUAGCGGUGAAAUGCGCAGAUAUCAGGAGGAACACCGAUGGCGAAGGCAGCUCGCUGGGACGGUACUGACGCUGAGGCGCGAAAGCGUGGGGAGCGAACAGG